rnacentral:rRNA from 1 species
AGACUCUGUGCGCGUGCAUAUCAAUAAGCGGAGGAAAAGAAACUAACAAGGAUUCCCCUAGUAACGGCGAGUGAAGCGGGAAGAGCUCAAAUUUGAAAUCUUAAAGGGUUUCCCUUUACGAAUUGUAGUUUAAAGAAGUGUUUUUCUGUUGGAGUUUCGGUAAAAGUUCUUUGGAAUAGGACAUCAUAGAGGGUGAGAAUCCCGUAUUUGACCGUUACUUUCCAGCUGUGUGAUACACUUUCAAAGAGUCGGAUUGUUUGGGAAUGCAGUCCAAAAUGGGUGGUAAAUUUCAUCUAAAGCUAAAUAUUGGCGAGAGACCGAUAGCGAACAAGUACCGUGAGGGAAAGAUGAAAAGAACUUUGAAAAGAGAGUUAAACAGUACGUGAAAUUGUCAAAAGGGAAGCGUUUGACACCAGUGUUGUUUAGUUGAAAAUCAAUUCAAUAAUUUUUGAUUUUGAGUAGUAUUGACUUCAUCAGCUUGCUGCUUUCUUCUCAGAAAUUAUUGAAUGCACUUUUCAGUUAACAAGUCAACAUCAAUUUCUUUUGUUGUAAAAGGGUAAGAGGAAGGUGGCUUUCUUUUCGGAGAAAGUGUUUAUAGCCUUGUACCUCUGCAAUCGGAGAGAUUGAGGUCUGCAGCGUAGAUCCUUCGGGGCUAGAUACAUUUAUGCUAAGUUAUAGCUUUUCAUAGACAACUUGUUGACUAUGUUUAGUCAUGUAGCUUACUCGCUUAUGCUAUUUUACCUACGCUUAGGAUGUUGAUCUGUAGUGCGUGCGC